GAUGAAGAACGCAGCGAAAUGCGAUAACUAAUGUGAAUUGCAGAAUUCCGUGAAUCAUCGAGUCUUUGAACGCACAUUGCGCCCCCUGGUAUUCCGGGGGGCAUGCCUGUCCGAGCGUCAUUGCCGCCCUCAAGCACGGCUUGUGUGUUGGGCCCCCGCCCCCCGGCUUCGGGGGGCGGGCCCGAAAGGCAGCGGCGGCACCGCGUCCGGUCCUCGAGCGUAUGGGGCUUCGUCACCCGCUCUGUAGGCCCGGCCGGCGCCCGCCGGCGACCCCAAUCAAUCUUUCCAGGUUGACCUCGGAUCAGGUAGGGAUACCCGCUGAACUUAAGCAUAUCAAUAAGCGGAGGA
rnacentral:misc_RNA from 1 species